CAAAGUGUAGCGCAGUCCAAUUAGCGCAUUUUUUUUGGGUACAGAGGGCCAUAGGUUCGAAUCCUGUCACCUUGA
rnacentral:tRNA from 1 species